rnacentral:tRNA from 1 species
GCGGGUGUGGCGGAAUUGGUAGACGCGCCAGCCUUAGGAGCUGGUGAGCGAAAGCUCGUGGGGGUUCAAGUCCCUCCACCCGCA